ACGCUGGCGGCGUGCCUAAUACAUGCAAGUAGAACGCACAGGAUGCACCGUAGUUUACUACACCGUAUUCUGUGAGUUGCGAACGGGUGAGUAACGCGUAGGUAACCUGCCUGGUAGCGGGGGAUAACUAUUGGAAACGAUAGCUAAUACCGUAUAAGAACAUUUACUGCAUGGUAGAUGUUUAAAAGGUGCAAGAGCAUCACUACCAGAUGGACCUGCGUUGUAUUAGCUAGUUGGUGAGGUAACGGCUCACCAAGGCAACGAUACAUAGCCGUCCUGAGAGGGUGAUCGGCCACACUGGGACUGAGACACGGCCCAGACUCCUACGGGAGGCAGCAGUAGGGAAUCUUCGGCAAUGGGGGGAACCCUGACCGAGCAACGCCGCGUGAGUGAAGAAGGUUUUCGGAUCGUAAAGCUCUGUUGUUAAGGAAGAACGUGUGUGAGAGUGGAAAGUUCACACAGUGACGGUACUUAACCAGAAAGGGACGGCUAACUACGUGCCAGCAGCCGCGGUAAUACGUAGGUCCCGAGCGUUGUCCGGAUUUAUUGGGCGUAAAGCGAGCGCAGGCGGUUAGAUAAGUCUGAAGUGAAAGGCAAUGGCUCAACCAUUGUAGGCUUUGGAAACUGUUUAACUUGAGUGCAGAAGGGGAGAGUGGAAUUCCAUGUGUAGCGGUGAAAUGCGUAGAUAUAUGGAGGAACACCGGUGGCGAAAGCGGCUCUCUGGUCUGUAACUGACGCUGAGGCUCGAAAGCGUGGGGAGCGAACAGGAUUAGAUACCCUGGUAGUCCACGCCGUAAACGAUGAGUGCUAGGUGUUAGGUCCUUUCCGGGACUUAGUGCCGCAGCUAACGCAUUAAGCACUCCGCCUGGGGAGUACGACCGCAAGGUUGAAACUCAAAGGAAUUGACGGG
rnacentral:rRNA from 1 species